rnacentral:rRNA from 1 species
GGUGGGUUGGCUUGUCAGGUUGAUUCCGGUAACGAACGAGACCUCAGCCUGCUAAAUAGUUGCGUCCGGUCCGCCGGGCGUCUAACUUCUUAGAGGGACUAUUAGCGACUAUCAGCUAAUUGAAGUAUGAGGCAAUAACAGGUCUGUGAUGCCCUUAGAUGUUCUGGGCCGCACGCGCGCUACACUGACGCGUCCAACGAGCCUCCUGGUCACGAGAGGACCGGGUAAUCUUGUAAACCGCGUCGUGAUGGGGCUAGAGCUUUGUAAUUAUUGCUCUUUAACGAGGAAUGCCUAGUAAGCGCGAGUCAUCAGCUCGCGUUGAUUACGUCCCUGCCCUUUGUACACACCGCCCGUCGCUCCUUCCGAUUGGGUGUGCUGGUGAAGAGUUCGGAUCGAAUAAGGCUAGCAAUGGCCCGGUUCGAAAAGUUCUU